rnacentral:rRNA from 1 species
GACGAACGCUGGCGGCGUGCCUAAUACAUGCAAGUCGAGCGGAUCAUUCCUUCGGGAAUGGUUAGCGGCGGACGGGUGAGUAACACGUAGGCAACCUGCCUGCAAGACUGGGAUAACUAACGGAAACGUUAGCUAAUACCGGAUACACAGCUGGAUCGCAUGAUCUAGUUGGGAAAGAGGGUGCAAGCUCUCGUUUGCAGAUGGGCCUGCGGCGCAUUAGCUAGUUGGUGGGGUAACGGCUCACCAAGGCGACGAUGCGUAGCCGACCUGAGAGGGUGAUCGGCCACACUGGGACUGAGACACGGCCCAGACUCCUACGGGUGGCAG